AUGAGGUCUGACGCUCUGGACACUGGAGACUUCAGCCUCACUCUGAGAAAACCAACAAAGACUGACAGCAGCAACUACAGCUGCUCCAUCAGUUAUAGAAGCCAUGGAGUAGAACGUAGACUGACAGACAUAGAGCUGGAGGUCAAAGACCAGCAGGUGAUUGUGAAGGUGGUAGAAGAAUCGCAGUCUGCCAUCUUGCCCUGCAAAACGACAGCUGACCUCUCACAGGAUACCACGGUUGAGUGGACUCGCUCUGAUGUAGACUUGAUGUUGGUCCAUGUGUACUCAAAGACACGUAACACCAUCAGGGAACAGGAUGGCUUUUACAGAGUCCGAACGAUGAUGAAUGAAGACCCGCUAAGAACUGGAGACCUCAGUCUGACCCUGAAAUACCCCACAGAUGGAGACAGUGGAGGAUACAUCUGCACCAUCUACAGGGACAAAGACAUCCUGAGACAGAAAGUAGUGCUGCAGGUCAAAGGUCAGUGUAGUAAAUGCAGGUCAGAGGUCACUGCUACAAGUAAGAGCGUAAGAGUUCAAUUUCUUAUUUUAUUGUUUCUUCUUAGAACGAUCUUGGGUCAAAGUUCUCCUGGUUCUUCUUAUUUUUGGAGGCCUUUUAUAUCAUUUCCGGCACUAUUUCAUGUCAGGUGAGUGUCUCCUACUACACUACCCAUAAUGCCGAUGGUUAGCAGGUGUCCUUGGUGGCUCCUUGACUGCGGCUCACACAAACUUGUUCCAGAAGCUGAAAGAGUUGAGAGUUACAAACAGCUGAUACAGAGAGCUGAAGAGAAACUUCCAGGUUUGUUCCAGAAGUCAGAAAACCUCCUUCAGACUCAGUCAUUGAUCAGUGAAACAGCUCCACAACAUGACUUUACUAAACAGUGUGUGUGCUUCACUGCAUUGAUCUGACACAGAGGCUGCAUGUGUCCAAGCUGUUCUUCUUCUGUGGUGGUAAACAUCAGGCUGACAUGGAAACAUGUGCUGACAGUAAAUGUUCCUCCUUGAGUUGUGCUCAGUCAUGUGGUGGAGAGCUUCAGAUGUUCAGAGCAGACACAUGAGAUCUUCAUGGUUUCUGUGCUGAUGUGUGUGAGACAUGGCCGACUGUGGAGGCUCAGUCUGUCUGUUCUUCUGCUCUUCAUCCAACAUGUCUGCAGCACUUUACAGGACGCUGCAGACUAGUUACCAAAGAACGAGUCAGGAACACAUCAGGAACAAACUGAGACACAGUCUCACUGAGACUAGAAGACAAGGAGGGGACAGGGAGGUCAUGUGACCAUCACAGCUCAAUCAAUCAAUCAAUCAAUCAAUCAAUCAAUCAAUCAAUCAAUCAAUCAAUCAGUCCUUUUAUUUGUCACAUGCAAUGUUUACACCUGCAGUCAAUGAUGGUGGUUUUCCUUUAUUGCCAACAACUGCAUGUCAAUUUCACAGCCGAUCUAACAGUCCGUCACUGAUCUCUCAAUCUCCUGUUUAAGAACUGUGAGCUUCUCAAAGAUGUUAUCAAUUUUGCGCUCAAAGAGCAAAGUCUGAGUCACGAGUACUCACGACAGCCUCGAAUUUCUCCAAGUUCUCAUCCGUGCUGCGUUCAAUGAGCCCAUUUUGGGAAGUCACGACUCGUCCCAUUUGCUGUUCAUAUCAUCAUGUUGUUUUUUGUUGUCCUCUCAGUUUACCAGGUGAUGGUGGAUUCAGGGGCAGAGUCUGUCCAGCUGCCCUGCAAAACGACAGCUCACUUGCCUCAAGAUGCUAAAGUUGAGUGGAUGGACAAAUACGACAGGAAGGUCCACGUGUAUGAGAACGGCUCGGACCAGCCUGAAGAACAGGACCAGGAUUACAGAGACCGGACGAAGAUGAAUGAAGACCUGCUGAAAACUGGAGACCUCAGUCUGACCCUGAAACACCCCACAGACAGAGACAGUGACACCUACACCUGCACCGUCUACAGCAGGGAGGGAAACAUCCUGCUGAAGAAACAAGUGGAGCUGGAAGUCAGAGGUCAGUGCUGCAGACACAGGUCAAAGUUAAGUCUUAGUUAAGUCGUAGGUAAAAGUGGUUUUCCACUGAUCAUAAGAAACAUUUGUGGUUUUAAAAAGCAGUUGGAGAAUUUAUUCUUCUGUAGAGAGGAGUUUUUGAGCAGGGCUGACAGACUGAUCAGAAAGAAACAUCAGCAUUGAAAUUCCUUUAGUGUGAAAGCAAACAUGUUGGUAUUUCAUGAAGUCAGCAGAGGAACAGUUUGGAUCUGCUGCCUCCAGAGUUUUGUUCUCCUCCUUCAUAGUUUGGAGGGAACAUUUCUCACCGAGUCUGGCUCACACUUUAUGUGGAACACAAAUGUUCCUGAAAACUCACACUUACAACAAGAAAGCCAUCAUCAGUCGAGCUUCACUACCAGAAUUGACAACAUCAACAGCUAAAUAAAGAACAGCGCCUGCUUUGUAAUAAAUGAAUACAUGUCUAAUUUCUUUCUCCGUCCUAAGCACUGUCGGGUUAUGAAAGUAGCCAUGUUGAUUACAAAAUAAAUUAACUUCUAACUGGAAUUUCAGUGUUUGUAAAAAUGUAAAUUUCCAUAGUUAAGUUAUUUUGCUUUGAACUUUUACACUGACUCAGAGGUUUUAGCUAAUCCUGCUUCCUGGGACAGAGACCUGCUAACAGGUUGAAGCUGGUUAACCCUUCCUUUCAUCUGUUUGCUUGAUAAAGCUCCUUCUGUCUGCUUAAGGAUCAGAGGGUAAAAUGAGAAGUUCUGUGUGACUAAACAAACACCUGCUGAACUUUGACCUCCAGGACAAAACCAGAUAGUGGUCCCCCUCUGAGAUUUCCAUAAUUAGCACUUAGACAGUGAGCUCUGAUCUGAGCUGCUCUGUGAACACAAAUUGGGCUUUGGACUUUUGAUGAACCUCCAACACUCAGUGGAACUACAGACGGAUGAUUCAAACAGGAAGUUUCACACAAAGAAAAAUUAGAAAGAGAAAGCUGAAUGUCUGUAAUGGUGAUCUGCAUAGAUCAGAGAAUCAUCCAAUAUUGAAUCAGCGAGGAUGCAUGACUUUGAAAUGAUCAACGUUAUUGAUCCCACAGAACAGCUCAGAGAUGAGCUGAGUGAAACCUGAGGAUUUAAUGAUGUUGCUAUAGAAACGUUGAGAUAGAAAAAAAAAAAGUACUGCUUCAGGUCAAAGGUUAGUACAUGACUAUGCCAGAACUCAGCUUGUGACCAUAUAUAACACAUUUGUUAUUUUCUUUAAUGUUAAAAUUUUAUGGAUCAUUUCAGUUAAAUCAAAACUAUUUCCUUCUGAGAAGCUACAGUUUGAGUUGCCUCGUACACUUCUCAGCCAAAAACUAAACAACGUUCUGCUACUUGGUUGGACGACCAACAAAGAGCAACACUGACACUGUGUUUCUGUCCAUCAUCAAGACACAUUUAUUCACACUGUCAACUGUCUAAUUAAGCUAAUCACAUGUUUAGACCAAUUAGUGACUCUGAGGUGCCUGUAGGUGUAACUGCUGAUUUUGAAAUCACAUAAAUACACUUAUAUUUUUAAGUGUUUUCAUAGUUAAUUAUUACUAUUAAUGUAUAUUAAUGUAUAAAAUUGUCAGCAGAUUUUCAAGACUUGUCUUUGUAAAGUACAAUUUGAAAAGAUAGAACUAACACCACCCAACCCCCACCCACCCAGACUCACCCAGCGAUGAGAUAGAUUCACCAGGGGCAACGGGGAACAACCACCCUGAAGACCUCAGUCUGACGCUGAAACACCCCACAGAUGGAGACAACUCCACCUACACCUGCACCGUCUGCAGCAGGGAGGGAAACAUCCUCAAGAAACAAGUGGAGCUGAAAUUCAGAGGUCAGUGCUGCAGACCUCUGUCUUUGUUUUCUGUUUCCAGGCAGCUAAUGAGAAGCUGAUUGAAGGUAAACGUGGCUUCCAAUUCAAAAGUGCCUCUUUGAGUUUGGAGUCAGAGUGAAUCUUAUGGAGUCAGUGCAGCAUUUCUUUGCUAAACAUGCCAGGCGAGUGUUUCCUUUAGGUGGAGAACACAGGACACCGACAGCAGUAGCUCAAAGCUUUGAGGACACACAGAAAUAUGAUAAUGAGUGGAAACUCUGGUGGUUUUAAACAGUAGCUGGGGAAUUACUUCUUCUGCAGAAACUAAUUAGUGGGGAAGAAAGACCAUGAUUUAGGUCCUUGCAAUGUGAAACCAAACACGCUGUUUUCAGGUAGUUAAUGUGGAGAUCUUCACAUUAGACCCAAAUCAGUGUGGAGUAUUAUAACAACAGGAUUCCUUGUGCAUACUUGUACACGAGUGUUCAUAUGCGAGUAUACCCCCAACACUCCAGGAGGAUUGCCAGGAUUUAUACAUCGGGGAAACCAAACAACCUCUGGCACAACACAGAAGAGCUACCUCAUCAGGCCAGGACUCUGCAGUCUAUUUACACCUACAGGCCAGUGGACACUCUUUCAAGGAUGAGGAUGUACACAUUGAUUGAUCAUUGAUCAGUGGUUGCUGAUCAAUGGUCAUACAGUGGCAUAUUAAUGAUCAAGGAACUGGCCUCGUAGUCCAUUGUUCAUUUACAGAGAUGGGCAGUAACGCGUAACGCGUUACUGUAAUCUGAUUACUUUUUUCAAGUAACGAGUAAUGUAAGGGAUUACUAUUGCAAAAACAGUAAUUAGAUUACCGUUACUUUCACGUAGGAACGCUGCGUUACUCCCUUACUAAAACCGUGAUUUUUUGCGAGAAUGUCUCAUGACAGUGACGUAAGCGAGUGCGACGUUCGUGACAACAGCUGUGUGCAGAUCAUAAUAUAUCAAGUGCGGGACAGAGUGUAGCAUGCAGCGUUCAAAGUGUGGAAGUACUGACCUUAUUUUGAGUUUGAUUCCAUCAAAAGUGACAAAAACAUUAGUGUCCGUUGUGCGUGGGAAGAAAACUUCUUUUUACAGCGAAAAAAACCCCUAAACUUCCAAGCAAGCAGCGAGUGUACUAUGACGUAAUGUGAAACUCACAGAGAAACUCGCGGAUUCUUCCACUGACCGCUGCAGCACACCUGCACCAGGGUAAACCUCCGCCUAACCCACUCCUGCUUUACAGGUGAAAAUAGAGCAACAGGACCGCUAGUCUUUGAUUUUAUUUAUUUUCUGCUGUGUUUUACUUUCAUCUAUUUGAAAGAGUGAGUGUAAACACAAAAAAAUAUUUUAUUUUAAAUGCUGGAAUGUGCAGAAAAUAGGUUUAAUUGUUAAACAAAUUUCUUCCAGUCAGAGAAUGUUGCAUAUAAUUAAGUUUUUGCUUGAUGCAUAAUGUUAAAAGAUUUAAAGUUUAAAGUUUUAAAAAGAGACGUUUCCAUUUGAUUACAUUUUGUAUGAUGGAUUAUGCAGAAAAAGUAGAAUUGGGCUGAAAGAUCUAUCGCUUUGUGGAGGUAAGCAUCAA
ensembl:lncRNA